rnacentral:rRNA from 1 species
GAUGAACGCUGGCGGCGUGCCUAAUACAUGCAAGUCGAGCGAACAGACGAGGAGCUUGCUCCUCUGACGUUAGCGGCGGACGGGUGAGUAACACGUGGAUAACCUACCUAUAAGACUGGGAUAAUUUCGGGAAACCGGAGCUAAUACCGGAUAAUAUAUUGAACCGCAUGGUUCAAUAGUGAAAGAUGGUUUUGCUGUCACUUAUCGAUGGAUCCGCGCCGCAUUAGCUAGUUGGUAAGGUAACGGCUUACCAAGGCAACGAUGCGUAGCCGACCUGAGAGGGUGAUCGGCCACACUGGAACUGAGACACGGUCCAGACUCCUACGGGAGGCAGCAGUAGGGAAUCUUCCGCAAUGGGCGAAAGCUUGACGGAGCAACGCCGCGUGAGUGAUGAAGGUCUUCGGAUCGUAAAACUCUGUUAUUAGGGAAGAACAAAUGUGUAAGUAACUAUGCACGUCUUGACGGUACCUAAUCAGAAAGCCACGGCUAACUACGUG